rnacentral:rRNA from 1 species
AGAAUCAACGCUGGCGGCGCGCCUAACACAUGCAAGUCGAACGAGAAAGUGGAGCAAUCCAUGAGUACAGUGGCGUACGGGUGAGUAACACGUGGGUAAUCUACCUUUUAGUGAGGAAUAACCGAGGGAAACUUCGGCUAAUACCGCAUAAGCCUGAGAAGGGAAAGCAGAAAUGCGCUGAAAGAGGAGCCCGCGGCCGAUUAGCUAGUUGGUGAGGUAAGAGCCCACCAAGGCAGAGAUCGGUA